rnacentral:rRNA from 1 species
AGAGUUUGAUCCUGGCUCAGGAUGAACGCUAGCUACAGGCUUAACACAUGCAAGUCGAGGGGGAAACGACAUCGAAAGCUUGCUUUUGAUGGGCGUCGACCGGCGCACGGGUGAGUGACGCGUAUCCAACCUGCCCACCACUUGGGGAUAACCUUGCGAAAGUAAGACUAAUACCCAAUGACGUCUCUAGAAGACAUCUGAAGGAGAUUAAAGAUUUAUCGGUGAUGGAUGGGGAGUGCGUCUGAUUAGCUUGUUGGCGGGGUAACGGGCCCACCAAGGCGACGAUCAGUAGGGGUUCUGAGAGGAAGGUCCCCCACAUUGGAACUGAGACACGGUCCAAACUCCUACGGGAGGCA